rnacentral:rRNA from 1 species
AUGAACGCUAGCUACAGGCUUAACACAUGCAAGUCGAGGGGCAGCAUUUCAGUUUGCUUGCAAACUGGAGAUGGCGACCGGCGCACGGGUGAGUAACACGUAUCCAACCUGCCGAUAACUCGGGGAUAGCCUUUCGAAAGAAAGAUUAAUACCCGAUGGUAUAAUCAGACCGCAUGGUCUUGUUAUUAAAGAAUUUCGGUUAUCGAUGGGGAUGCGUUCCAUUAGGCAGUUGGUGAGGUAACGGCUCACCAAACCUUCGAUGGAUAGGGGUUCUGAGAGGAAGGUCCCCCACAUUGGAACUGAGACACGGUCCAAACUCCUACGGGAGGCAGCAGUGAGGAAUAUUGGUCAAUGGACGGGAGUCUGAACCAGCCAAGUAGCGUGAAGGAUGACUGCCCUAUGGGUUGUAAACUUCUUUUAUAUGGGAAUAAAGUUUUCCACGUGUGGAAUUUUGUAUGUACCAUAUGAAUAAGGAUCGGCUAACUCCGUGCCAGCAGCCGCGGUAAUACGGAGGAUCCGAGCGUUAUCCGGAUUUAUUGGGUUUAAAGGGAGCGUAGGUGGACAGUUAAGUCAGUUGUGAAAGUUUGCGGCUCAACCGUAAAAUUGCAGUUGAUACUGGCUGUCUUGAGUACAGUAGAGGUGGGCGGAAUUCGUGGUGUAGCGGUGAAAUGCUUAGAUAUCACGAAGAACUCCGAUUGCGAAGGCAGCUCACUGGACUGCAACUGACACUGAUGCUCGAAAGUGGGGGUAUCAAACAGGAUUAGAUACCCUGGUAGUCCACGCCGUAAACGAUGAGUGCUAAGUGUUGGAGGGUUUCCGCCCUUCAGUGCUGCAGCUAACGCAUUAAGCACUCCGCCUGGGGAGUACGACCGCAAGGUUGAAACUCAAAGGAAUUGACGGGGGCCCGCACAAGCAGUGGAGUAUGUGGUUUAAUUCGAAGCAACGCGAAGAACCUUACCAGGUCUUGACAUCCACUUAAACUUACAGAGAUGUAAGGUGUGCUUGCACAAAGUGAGACAGGUGGUGCAUGGUUGUCGUCAGCUCGUGCCGUGAGGUGUCGGCUUAAGUGCCAUAACGAGCGCAACCCUUAUCUUUAGUUACUAACAGGUCAUGCUGAGGACUCUAGAGAGACUGCCGUCGUAAGAUGUGAGGAAGGUGGGGAUGACGUCAAAUCAGCACGGCCCUUACGUCCGGGGCUACACACGUGUUACAAUGGGGGGUACAGAAGGCAGCUACCUGGUGACAGGAUGCUAAUCCCAAAAGCCUCUCUCAGUUCGGAUCGAAGUCUGCAACCCGACUUCGUGAAGCUGGAUUCGCUAGUAAUCGCGCAUCAGCCAUGGCGCGGUGAAUACGUUCCCGGGCCUUGUACACACCGCCCGUCAAGCCAUGAAAGCCGGGGGUACCUGAAGUACGUAACCGCAAGGAGCGUCCUAGGGUAAAACUGGUAAUUGGGGCU